rnacentral:rRNA from 1 species
CGCGUAGGCGGAAGAUUAAGUCAGUGGUGAAAACCUGCAGCUUAACUGUAGAAUUGCCAUUGAUACUGUUAGUCUUGAGUACGGUCAAGGUAGGCGGAAUGUGUAAUGUAGCGGUGAAAUGCUUAGAUAUUACACAGAACACCGAUUGCGAAGGCAGCUUACUGGGCCAUUACUGACGCUGAGGCACGAAAGCGUGGGGAGCGAACAGGAUUAGAUACCCUGGUAGUCC